CUAGGAAUCUGCCUGAUAGUGGGGGACAACGUUUCGAAAGGAACGCUAAUACCGCAUACGUCCUACGGGAGAAAGCAGGGGACCUUCGGGCCUUGCGCUAUCAGAUGAGCCUAGGUCGGAUUAGCUAGUUGGUGAGGUAAUGGCUCACCAAGGCGACGAUCCGUAACUGGUCUGAGAGGAUGAUCAGUCACACUGGAACUGAGACACGGUCCAGACUCCUACGGGAGGCAGCAGUGGGGAAUAUUGGACAAUGGGCGAAAGCCUGAUCCAGCCAUGCCGCGUGUGUGAAGAAGGUCUUCGGAUUGUAAAGCACUUUAAGUUGGGAGGAAGGGCAGUAAAUUAAUACUUUGCUGUUUUGACGUUACCGACAGAAUAAGCACCGGCUAACUCUGUGCCAGCAGCCGCGGUAAUACAGAGGGUGCAAGCGUUAAUCGGAAUUAC
rnacentral:rRNA from 1 species